UGGGGAAUAUUGCACAAUGGGCGCAAGCCUGAUGCAGCCAUGCCGCGUGUAUGAAGAAGGCCUUCGGGUUGUAAAGUACUUUCAGCGGGGAGGAAGGGAGUAAAGUUAAUACCUUUGCUCAUUGACGUUACCCGCAGAAGAAGCACCGGCUAACUCCGUGCCAGCAGCCGCGGUAAUACGGAGGGUGCAAGCGUUAAUCGGAAUUACUGGGCGUAAAGCGCACGCAGGCGGUCUGUCAAGUCGGAUGGGAAAUCCCCGGGCUCAACCUGGGAACUGCAUUCUAAACUGGCAGGCUAGAGUCUUGUAGAGGGGGGUAGAAUUCCAGGUGUAGCGGUGAAAUGCGUAGAGAUCUGGAGGAAUACCGGUAGCGAAGGCGGCCCCCUAGACGAAGACUGACGCUCAGGUGCGAAAGCGUAGGGAGCAAACAGG
rnacentral:rRNA from 1 species